UUCCUGUUGGUUCCUAAGCGUGAUGAUUGGGUUUUCACAUUCAUGUGUGACAUGUGCCUCCCUCAAAUCUUGUGAUGAUGUCAUCACAUGACCCAUCUGACG
ensembl:snoRNA